rnacentral:sRNA from 1 species
UGCUAAAAUCGGUGUACACAGCAUCAAC